AUCUUAUCAUUAUAUCACGGGGCUAAUGAUACUAUCCAGAAUAAUGAAGGGGGAGGGGGUGAUAUGUCAACUAAUGUGUGUUUAUGUGUGUGUGUGUGUGUGUGUGUGUGUGUGUGUGUGUGUGUGUGUGUGUGUGUGUGUGUGUGUGUGUGUGUGUGUGUGUGUGUGUGUGUGUGUGUGUGUGUGUGUGUGUGUGUGUGUGUGUGUGUGUGUGUGUUCCCUUAGCUUCCUAUUAUAU